CAGUGCCUUCAGACACUGUCUUGCUUCCCCAGCGCAGGGAGAGCCAGCUCCGCACCCAGGUGCAGCCUCUGUGGCCAGCGAUGUGCCCUGCCCCUUGGCACAGACCACACCGGGGAGCCACGGCCCGGCUGCCAGAGGGAAGACUCCACCCUCUUCGGCGUGCAAUGGCAGAUGGGUGGUCACCCCUGGCACUCAGCUCCAGAGGAAGUCUGCAUGGAUUUCUUCAUUACUACCCCCAGCUUCCUGCCCAUUCUUCCCAAUGACACGCUCUCAGUCUUCCUUGAAAGUGAUUAUGAUUCCUAAAUGAGCACACAGAAAUAAACUUCUUCAUUAACUAGAGAAGAAAUCGCACCACCUGAGUGGAACACGCAGGCGAACACAGCAGAAGCACAGCAGCGUGUGCGGGGCUAAUUACCUGCUCACAGAUGCUCCGUGCUGCAGGCGGGGUAGCUGGGGCUGUCGUGCUUGGGGCGGCAUUGUCGAGGCUUUGUGUUUUGUGGAGCUCGAGACCCAGAUAUUAACAGGUACUGUUCAAAUACAUUUUGGAAACUCAAUG
rnacentral:lncRNA from 1 species